rnacentral:rRNA from 2 species
CAAUAGCAUAUACCAAUUCUGUUGCUGUUAAAAAGCUCGUAGUUGGAUCGAUUCUGAGGAUGGGGUCUGCCUGAGUGGCAUGCACCUCACUCCGAAGAUGCUUUCGCUGGUUUUCUCUUGGUGCUCUUCAUUGGGUGCCUUGGGUGGCUAGCAUGUUUACUUUGAAAAAAUUAGAGUGCUCAAAACAGGCGUUACUGCCCGAAUAGUGGUGCAUGGAAUAAUGGAAUAGGAUCUCGGUUCUAUUUUGUUGGUUUUAGGGACACGAGAUAAUGAUUAAGAGGGACAGACGGGGGCAUUCGUACUGCGGCGUUAGAGGUGAAAUUCUUGGAUCGCCGCAUGACGAACAAUUGCGAAAGCAUUUGCCAAGAAUGUUUUCAUUAAUCAAGAACGAAAGUUAGAGGUU